AGACAUUCAAAGACCGGUAUCUUCUUUUUUUUAACAGAACGGCGAGCCGCCACCGCGUAUGCUUCUCACAGCUGCAGGGAUGUUAAACAUUUACAAUUUAAACAAUACAAGAUCGAAAUUUAACGACCGACCUCUUAAUAUCUGCAAAAGUAUUAUUAUAUUUUGUAAAAAGUUUGUUUUGAACGUUGUUGGGACGCUACAAGUUAUAAAUUAUAAUUUUAUUCCCCGUUGUACUUUUUAGCGCCAAGUAAUCGUUUUUCGUUUAUUCUAUUUAAAUACCCGCUUCGCUUGUAACUCUUACAGUGAUUUACAUGAGAUUUCUCACGUUUUUCUAAAGUGUCACGUCUCGAAUGCCUCAAAUUAAUUUUUUUCAACUGAGCUGUCUGUAAUUCAUCGUCAAAUAAUUUCACACUUCAUACAUGGAUGUUUAAGAAUUGCUUUUACGGUCAGACGGCUAUUAGUAACAAGCAGAUGGCUUUUACCUUGGAAGUCUCUUUCGUCCUGCACGAUUCUACAACUUUUGGUUUACAACAACUUUGGUUUUGCUGCGACCAGUCUUUGUUAUACUACGCCCUAGGUAUACGAAGUCAGGCACUUGUUCUAUCUGCUUGUUGUCCAAACUAAUAAUGUUGGUCAAACGGCUACAGUUUUACAGUACAGCACAACACGUCAGUAUGACUUUUAUAUUCCU